rnacentral:rRNA from 1 species
CUGAUCUGACGUGCUUGCACUGAAGUGACGAUCGGAUUACCAGUGAGCGGCGGACGGGUGAGUAACACGUGGGCAACCUGCCCUGAAGCGGGGGAUAACAUUUGGAAACAGGUGCUAAUACCGCAUAACAACGAAAACCACAUGGUUUUCGUUUCAAAGAUGGUUUCGGCUAUCACUUCAGGAUGGGCCCGCGGUGCAUUAGCUUGUUGGUAGGGUAACGGCCUACCAAGGCAAUGAUGCAUAGCCGAGUUGAGAGACUGAUCGGCCACAAUGGAACUGAGACACGGUCCAUACUCCUACGGGAGGCAGCAGUAGGGAAUCUUCCACAAUGGGCGCAAGCCUGAUGGAGCGACACCGCGUGAGCGAAGAAGGGUUUCGGCUCGUAAAGCUCUGUUGUUGAAGAAGAACGUGCGUGAGAGUAACUGUUCACGCAGUGACGGUAUUCAACCAGAAAGUCACGGCUAACUACGUGCCAGCAGCCGCGGUAAUACGUAGGUGGCAAGCGUUAUCCGGAUUUAUUGGGCGUAAAGCGAGCGCAGGCGGUUGCUUAAGUCUGAUGUGAAAGCCUUCGGCUUAACCGAAGAAGUGCAUCGGAAACUGAGCGACUUGAGUGCAGAAGAGGACAGUGGAACUCCAUGUGUAGCGGUGGAAUGCGUAGAUAUAUGGAAGAACACCAGUGGCGAAGGCGGCUGUCUGGUCUGCAACUGACGCUGAGGCUCGAAAGCAUGGGUAGCGAACAGGAUUAGAUACCCUGGUAGUCCAUGCCGUAAACGAUGAGUGCUAGGUGUUGGAGGGUUUCCGCCCUUCAGUGCCGCAGCUAACGCAUUAAGCAC